GGCAGUUGUGUGCUACAGUGUUCCAAAAUGGAAAUAAAAAAAAGAUAAAAUUCGAUACCUUCUUCAGUAUCACUACAACCAAGGUGAACAGUCGGACAAAAAUUGUUCUAUGUAUGGAACCAAUACAGUAAAGAAUGCAACAGCAAAGCCGUUACUCCAACAAUUUUGUUUCUGGACCGGGAGUUGAGCACUUAUUCCAUUGUCCAGGAACUGAAGAUUUGCCAGAAAACCGUUUGGAACCAUCUAAAUCAGAUAAUACUAACUAUGUUAAUUUUGUUGUCAAAAUAAAGCGAAAAACAAUCAGAACUUGUUACUUCACCUAUUCCUACGUAUGAUUUUAAUAUCAUGAAAUAUAUAUGUCAUUCGUUUCAAAAA
rnacentral:lncRNA from 1 species